rnacentral:rRNA from 1 species
GACAGAGGGUGCUAGCGUUGUUCGGAAUUACUGGGCGUAAAGGGUGCGUAGGCGGUCUGUUAAGUUCGGUGUGAAAUCCCCUGGCUCAACUGGGGAACUGCGCUGGAAACUGGCAGACUCGAGUACCGGAGAGGAGAGUGGAAUUCCUGGUGUAGCGGUGAAAUGCGUAGAUAUCAGGAGGCACACCGGUGGCGAAGGCGGCUCUCUGGACGGUACUGACGCUGAGACGCGAAAGCGUGGGGAGCAAACCGG